CACGGUCAACGGAAUUUAGUAAAAUCCAGCGACUAGUACGCUAGUACCCGGGCGAUCGUUAACACACGCAGAGAAUAAACCUCACCGCAAAAUGUUUACGCGACAGCUUAUUUUCUACGAUAUUUGAUUUCGGUUUUGAACUUACCGCGUUUUCAGAGGGCCGCGGCGCACCAGUGAAAAUGUGUUCUAUAUUUAAACGCUACAAACCACCUGCUACGGGGAAGAACUUUCUUCUGCGCUUUAAGAAUCCACCCGACAAGCAAGUGUUUGAUACGGACAAGACACCAAACCGGCACUUCACAAGUAAUGAAUUAAAACGCUUAUAUCACGCUCUCGAUGAUCACGGAACAAAAUUUAUACAUCAAUCGUGCUGGAAUACAUUCGAUAAGACCUGAACUCAAGUACAAUUGCUGCAUUCAACAGAAGAACUUACCUUGACGGAGACCACUGCACACACCUUCCGUACUCCACAACAAACACGCUGCAAGUGAGCGAUCUAACCGUUAGGGGAAAGUCUCGGCGGAAUAAUGGACUCUUCCACGGGUUGAGCAGCAGCAGCAUGCCCGUACACAUGUGCGGAUGUUUGGCCUGGGCAGCAUUAGGCUGCCGAUACUAAAUGACGAGGAGUACCUGCCAUUUUGUGAUGUGGUAUAAGAACCGCCGGAAGGCGCUGAGCGCUGUCUGACCUGCCUCGCCGUCUCCUGACGUCAGGAGGAUCUCGUUUUCUGGGGUCGCAGCGCGCAGUCAGCGGUUGCGGCACGGGCAGUGGAGAAUGCGUGGACACCACGUGACUACUGGAGAGAGAUCGGAAGUGUAAAUUCAAACAGCAUUUGCUGUCCAAACAGCUGUAGCGCUGCCUCUGUGGUGGUUCCUUGUUGGAGCGUCUUUCCAUACCAUGUUUAUGGACGUCGUCAUUGUAUACAUGUAAAUUUUCUGUUAUGAAUAAAUGGAACGAAACAGUCAA